AGACGGCCGCGCCACGAUCAUCCGCAUCUUCAGGUACUUGAAGUUUUUAUUAUUUUAUUAUGUUUUCCGUAACGUUAAGAUUAAGAUAUUUCAAGGUUUUUUCGUGAUCGAUUUUCGUUUUCGAAACUGUCGGCCCGAUUUUAAAUGCGCGACCUUUCCGACUCGUGCGCCGCGCGAAUUUUCUCACGCGAUUCUCCCGGC